CACGCGACUCCAAUCCUCGAAAACCACCUCCCUCCUUUUCCCUCCGCACGCACAUCUCUCGCCGCGAAAAUGGCGGCAUCCUCUCCGGCAACGGCCUCUCCUCCCCUCGCCGGUUCGGCGAUCCAUCGCGGCCCCGGCAUUUCCCGCCAACUCCCAGGCUCGCUUUUCUGCCGCCCGCUCGCGAGAUCCUCCUCCCAGACCGUCUCCGCACCCGCCGCCUCCACCGCUCCCAAGCCCAGGGGAUUGCUCCUGCGAUGCCGGGCAGCGGAGGGGGCGGCGCCGGCGCGGGCGGAGGCGCCGCUGAAGGUGAUGAUCUCGGGCGCGCCAGCGUCAGGAAAGGGGACGCAGUGCCGUAUGAUCGUCGAGAAGUAUGGUUUAGUUCACAUAUCAACUGGGGAUCUUCUACGGGCUGAAGUAUCUUCUGGCACAAAAAUAGGCAAGAAAGCGAAAGAAUAUAUGGACAAUGGCAUGCUUGUCCCGGAUCAAGUUGUGACCGAUAUGGUGGUUUCACGGCUAUCACAGCCGGAUGUACAAGAAAGAGGGUGGCUUCUCGAUGGUUACCCAAGGAGUUAUGCCCAAGCACAGAGUCUUGAAAGUAUGAAGAUAAGACCAGAUAUAUUCAUUGUACUGGAAGUUCCUGAUGACAAUCUAAUCGAUAGAUGUGUUGGAAGAAGACUAGAUCCUGUGACAGGAAAAAUUUACCAUGUAAAAAACUUCCCCCCGGAGAAUGAGGAAAUUUCCACCAGGCUUAUUACACGUUCUGAUGAUACGUUUGAGAAGGUUAAAUCAAGGCUUGAGACAUACAAGCAAAAUUCUGAAGCAGUUCUUCCAACAUACUCAGAUCUACUUAAUCAGAUUGAUGGAAAUCGCCCAGUGGAAGUCGUUUUUCAGGAAAUAGAAUCCCUGUUACAGAAGAUUUGUACCAAUGCUUCAGAAGACAAGUUGGCCAAAACAAAUGGAAAAUCAUCAGAUUUUGUGGGUACAACAACUUCAAAAAAUGAGUGGCGGGGAAUUCCGACGAGAUUAAAUAAUAUUCCACACUCCAGAGAGAUCAGGAAAUACUUCUAUGACGACGUGCUACAAGCUACGAAGCGUGCUAUUGAAGAUAAAAAGACUCGGUUACAGAUAGAUAUCAACAUUCCUGAGCUUAACCCUGAAAUGGAUGUUUAUCGUAUAGGAACCCUCAUGGAACUUGUAAGAGAAAUAUCUCUAGCCUUUGCUGAUGACGGAAAGCGUGUCAAGGUCUCUGUUCAAGGAUCCAUGGGGCAAGGUGCAUUUGCUGGCAUUCCACUUCAGCUGGCUGGAACCAGAAAGAUAUUGGAAUUCAUGGACUGGGGUGAUUAUGGGGCGAAGGGCGCCUUCAUUAAUAUUGGAGCAGUAGGUGCUAGUGAGGUUGAUAAAGAAGAUGACAUGUUUAUCCUCAUUGCUCCACAGAAUGCUGUUGGAAACUGCAUAAUUGAUGAUAUGAGAGCUAUGACUGAUGCUGCUGGUGACAGACCUGUAAUUCUCGUAAAUCCUCGUCUAAAGGAUAUGCCUGCAUCAAGUGGCGUAAUGCAAACAAUGGGAAGAGACAUGCGGCUUAAGUAUGCUGCAUCAUUUGAGACUUGUUAUUCCUUCCGGCUUCUCUUCUAUGCUGGCACAUUUUAUCCUAUUAUGGGAGCUUUAAGGAUGGGUUAUCCCAAUAAAUAUGAGAUCUAUCGAAGGGUUGAUGAACCCAAUGGAAAAGAGAAAUAUGUUUUGCUAGCUGAACUCAUGGACAAGCCAACAGCUGAUGACAUCACCAAUGCCUUCAAAGGACCAAAAAAGGAAAAGGAAAGCGCGCCAUCGGGUUUCUGGGGUUUCUUGAGUGGUAUAUUGUGAGGCAAAGCAAUCUACUAUGUGAACAUACCGUCCGUCCUGUUUGUUUACUGGUUUACCACAUUCUCCCCGUCAUUCAGCCUUCCAUCUAGUGCAACGGUUAUUUCCCCCUUUCCUAUUCACCAUAUCCAUAUGUAUAGCUCCAUAUUUUUUGCUACCCAAUAGCGCUACAGUUUUUCAUUUAGGGAAAUUUGUGUGCAUUCUAGACGGGGCCUGCUCAUAGUUCCAUAUGAUGUAUACGUUAGGUCGUUAGCACCCUAAUUUAAACAUUUUAAUAGCGGGUUCAUAAAGUUAGGGAUACAUGCCUGAACAUUUGGACCAAGCUCCAGCGGUCCUGACAGCCGAAUCCCUCGCCAAUGGAGAAGCCAGAGGACACCACCGACGGCAGCAGAAGCGCCGGGAGUCUAUCAUAGCGGUACUUAGUCGUCGUCCAGUAAGCUACAGGGGAAAAACUCUGGCUCGGCGUGGUUUUUGUUACAAUGUAAAGCACUGAGUAAAAUCUACGACUGUUUCAUUGAUUGAUUGCACAUAUAUGCAAGUCCAAGCGCUGCCUGUACGGACACAUGCAUCUGUACAGGAAAAUGCACGUAUACGGGCACAGGCGCCUGGACUAGAGUGAGGCCAAAUAGCAGUUGUUAAGCAAUUGCCAUUAGUGUAAUUAAAAAUGUGGUUAAUCUGAUUGAUCACAUGCCUAAUUAAUCUCAAGACUCUGUUGAUCAAUUGCUCUGUUGAUAUGUAUGCUUCUAACGCCUUGUAUUCACAUUCUGGAAAAUUACCUUAUAUGCUAAAUGUGCUAUGGGUCUGAUAUA